rnacentral:rRNA from 1 species
UACGGGAGGCAGCAGUGGGGAAUUUUGGACAAUGGGGGCAACCUUGAUCCAGCCAUCCCGCGUGAGUGAAGAAGGCCUUCGGGUUGUAAAGCUCUUUCAGCCGGAAAGAAAACGCAUCGGUUAAUACCCAGGGUGAAUGACGGUACCGUCAGAAGAAGCACCGGCUAACUACGUGCCAGCAGCCGCGGUAAUACGUAGGGUGCGAGCGUUGUUCGGAAUUAUUGGGCGUAAAGCGUGCGCAGGCGGUUUUUUAAGUCAGAUGUGAAAUCCCCGGGCUUAACCUGGGAAGUGCAUUUGAAACUGUGAAGGCUAGAGUGCAGCAGAGGGGGGUAGAAUUCCCCGUGUAGCGGUGAAAUGCGUAGAUAUGUGGAGGAAUACCGGUGGCGAAGGCGGCCCCCUGGGCUAACACUGACGCUCAGGCGCGAAAGCGUGGGGAGCAAACAGGAUUAGAUACCCUGGUAGUCCACGCCCCAAACGAUGUCAAUUAGUUGUUGGGGAAGGGGACCUCUCAGUACCGCAGCUAACGCAUG